AGGGCUUCCUGUUAGUCACUUCUCCUUCUGUCCCCAGGAGGAAUUCGAAGGUCUGACUCCAUUAUGAAUCAGGGAAGAUCAGUGUCAUUGGCAAAAACAGCUUUUUUUUUUUUUUUUUUCAGCCAUGUCUCAAGAAACUUGCAAGUAAAUGCAAGGCUUAGUUGUAUGUGGAUGGGUGCAGGAGUGGUGGGGCGCACAGAGAUGGGGGAGGGGGAUCUGGUAGAGAGACCCUGUGGCCAUGACCUGCCUUAGCCCCACAAGCUUUUGAGCCCUGUUCUUGAACUCGAUAUGUCUUGAGUUUCACAGGGGGAAUCUCUCACCCAGCUCAAUGUGGUUCGCCUUCAGGGGUCCCUGCCAGAGCCUGUCUGGAUUAGGCAAUCAGGAAAGCCGACGAACACUGGGGAGAAAGACUUACAUGGACAGGGCAUCCCAGAUAUCCCCUGCGGGCCUCCUUCCUCAUUUCCAAGUUUCCUUAUUAGAUGGCGGAAAUGUGUCUUAUUCAGUCAAGAAGGACCCAGGCCAAGGUGAAAGGGGCACGGUUAAGCUCUCUGGGCCUGGAGUCACUCAAGCACCUGGAGGGAGCGUUCUCUCCCUUAGAGACAGUUUUCAUUUCCACCUUGCUCAAAACAAAAGCCAGGCGGCUGGAAAAACAAAUGCCUGUGCAGGAGUUCUUCUCACAUCUAUGCUGACUUUUCCAGAC
rnacentral:lncRNA from 1 species